CCAGACCCCAUGACGACGGCUAGUGGAACAAGCAUCUGCUAACAACGUGACAGGCGGAGAGGUUCGCCUCAGUCGCUGCUCCCUAAAUUACAUAUUUGUCGACACGACAUUUUCCUGAAAUCCCUGCCCAGAGCAGGAGAGCAGGAUCCUGCAGUCGUGGAACAGGUGAAGCCAACAAUCCCAGCGCUCCGGGUUAAGCUACCAAACAUGCCAGGUGAAGAAAAAGAAAGGAGUCGUGCACGUGUGGUGACACAGAGAGGAGGGAGAGGAUCGCUAGCUGCACAGCAGACAGAAAGUUCGCUACAUCGACAACCAACGCUCACAGCUCACUCAAAGCUUCGUGACUUUUUUCUGAUUGUCUGUAGAAGCAUUACAACACA